CCUGAUCAGCCAUGCCGCGUGUGUGAAGAAGGCCUUUUGGUUGUAAAGCACUUUAAGCAGGGAGGAGAGGCUAAUGGUUAAUACCCAUUAGAUUAGACGUUACCUGCAGAAUAAGCACCGGCUAACUCUGUGCCAGCAGCCGCGGUAAUACAGAGGGUGCGAGCGUUAAUCGGAAUUACUGGGCGUAAAGCGAGUGUAGGUGGCUCAUUAAGUCACAUGUGAAAUCCCCGGGCUUAACCUGGGAACUGCAUGUGAUACUGGUGGUGCUAGAAUAUGUGAGAGGGAAGUAGAAUUCCAGGUGUAGCGGUGAAAUGCGUAAAGAUCUGGAGGAAUACCGAUGGCAAAC
rnacentral:rRNA from 1 species